GCCCAAAGAGGAAGGAGUCCUGCAGUGCCCAAGCCAGACUAUUUCCUGAGAACCUCUGUUCUUACCUACUGCUUUAAGCAGGUCAGUUCCUAUUUUAUUGAUAUUACAUAUAUUGCAUAAGAAUUAGGCUGAGGCUAUGUUUAGGAACACACACACACAGUCUUAUGUGUCAACAAUUAAAGAAAAAAGAUACCAUGAAUUUGAAAGGGAGCCAGGGGUGUGGUAUAUUGAUUGGAGAAAGGAAGGAGGAUGGAAGGAGUGGAAAAUGAUGUAAUUAUAUUAUAAUCUCAAAAGAUAAAAAGAUUUUUUAAAAAAAUCAGGCUGAAAGAAGGGUAUGUUUGUUUGUUUGUUUCCUGAGACAGGGUCUCGAUAUGUUGGCCAGCUGGCCUGGAAUUUGCUAUGUAUACCAGGUUGGCCUUGUACUCCAAGUGCUAGUAUUAAAGGCUUGUGUCACCUGGAUUGAACUAUCUUCUUCUUCUUCUUCUUCUUUUUUUUUAGUGUGUGUGUCUGUUUUCUCCUUCUACCCAAGGAUCCAACAGUCUCCAGUCCCUCACUUCUGGGGGUCAUAGCUGUCCACUAGGCAAGUUGGCAUUUCAGAUGGACUCUGGGAUCAGAACUCAGGUCCUCAAGCAAGCAGAGUAGACACUUUGCCAUGCAAAGUGACUCUUGAUGAGCAAGUGGGAGCUUUCUGUUCAGUGGAGAAAGCAGAGAGACAACCUGGAAUUGGGAGUGAGGCAGCAGGAAUCUACAGCCCUCCUCCCGCUGGCCAGGGAGCUGUAUUUUGGCUGGGCAGUGUCUCGCAGAGCCUCUCUGAUGGCCCAAGAGGAAGAGACAGAGAAAAGAGCCAGAGAAGGAGUUUUGGAGGCAAUGAGCAACUGCUAGGUUGACAAACUGUGUCCCACCAUGAAGGAGGGAGGAAGGCUCACUAGACCUAGUGAGAAUAGCAUCCUGAUUGGAGCAGGGUUUCCCUUGAGGUAUGCAUAGAUGAGCAGAAUUGUGCAGGUGAGAGAAAGCCGAGACACAGGCAGAUGGGGAUCCCUGGGCCUUCAGUGCUGAGCCUCUGGGCUGCCCUCAUUAACCCCUCACCCCGCCCCCAGGGCCCCUUGGUCCUUGGUUAGUAUCUUCCCUCAGGCUGAGAUGGAUUCUCCUUGC
rnacentral:lncRNA from 1 species